GACGAACGCUGGCGGCGUGCUUAACACAUGCAAGUCGAGCGGUAAGGCCCUUUCGGGGUACGACGAGCGGCGAACGGGUGAGUAACACGUGGGUGACCUGCCUUUAGCUCUGGGAUAAGCCUGGGAAACUGGGUCUAAUACCGGAUAUGACUCCAUGAUGCAUGUUGUGGGGUGGAAAGCCUUGUGCGGCUGGAGAUGGGCCCGCGGCCUAUCGGCUUGUUGGUGGGGUGAUGGCCUACCAAGGCGACGACGGGUAGCCGGCCUGAGAGGGCGACCGGCCACACUGGGACUGAGACACGGCCCAGACU
rnacentral:rRNA from 1 species